UGGUCAAGUUAUUAAGGGUGCAGGGCGGAUGCCUUGGCACUAGGAGCCGAUGAAGGACGUGAUAAGCUGCGAUAAGCUUCGGGGAGUUGCACGUAAACUUUGAUCCGAAGAUUUCCGAAUGAGGAAACUCACUUAGAGUAAUGUCUAAGUAUCAUUAAGUGAAUACAUAGCUUAAUGAGGGGAACUCAGGGAACUGAAACAUCUAAGUACCUGAAGGAAGAGAAAGAAAUUCGAUUCCGUAAGUAGCGGCGAGCGAACGCGGAUUAGCCCAAACCAAUAAAGUUUUCUUUAUUGGGGUUGCGGACAUAUCAUAACGAAGAGGUAUCGUAAUUGAAGAGGUUUGGAAAGACCCACCACAGAAGGUAAUAGUCCUGUAUGUUAAACGAGAAGACUUUAGAUAUGAUCCAGAGUACCACGGGACACGUGAAACCCUGUGGGAAGCAGGAGGGACCACCCUCCAAGGCUAAAUACUACCUAGUGACCGAUAGCGUAUAGUACCGUGAGGGAAAGGUGAAAAGAACCCCGGGAGGGGAGUGAAAUAGAACCUGAAACCCUGCACUUACAAGCUGUGGAAGCACAUUUCUUGUGUGACCGCGUACUUUUUGUAGAACGGGCCAACGAGUUACGUUAAGUAGCAAGGUUAAGCACUUAAGGUGCGGAGCCGUAGCGAAAGCGAGUUUUAACUGAGCGUUCAGUUACUUGACGUAGACCCGAAACCGGGCGACCUACCCAUGAGCAGGAUGAAGCGAAAGUAAAAUUUCGUGGAGGUCCGAACCCACGAGCGUUGAAAAGCUCGGGGAUGACUUGUGGGUAGCGGUGAAAUUCCAAUCGAGCCCGGAGAUAGCUGGUUCUCCCCGAAAUAGCUUUAGGGCUAGCCUCAAGGUGAGAGAUACGGAGGUAGAGCACUGAAUGUCCUAGGGGGUAUUGCACCUACCGAAGACUAUCAAACUCCGAAUGCCGUCAUCUUAUACUUGGGAGUCAGACUGUGGGUGAUAAGAUUCAUAGUCGAAAGGGCAACAGCCCAGAUCGUCAGCUAAGGUCCCUAAAUGUAAGUUAAGUGGUAAAGGAUGUGGGAUUGCACAGACAACCAGGAUGUUGGCUUAGAAGCAGCCACUCAUUCAAAGAGUGCGUAAUAGCUCACUGGUCGAGUGAUCCUGCGCCGAAGAUUUCCGGGGCUAAAACUUACUACCGAAGCUACGGCAUCAGUAAUGAUGGGUAGGGGAGCUUCCCAUACGGGUUGAAGCAUGACCGUAAGGACAUGUGGACAGUAUGGGAGUGAGAAUGUUGGCAUGAGUAGCGAGAUGUGGGUGAGAAUCCCACAGGCCGUAAACCCAAGGUUUCCAGGGGGAAGGUUCGUCCGCCCUGGGUUAGUCGGGACCUAAGCUGAGGCCGAAAGGCGUAGGUGAUGGACAACAGGUUGAUAUUCCUGUACUACCGAUAACCGUUUGAGAGAAGGGAUGACACAGUAGGAUAAGCUAAGCACACUGUUGGUUAUGUGUGCCCAAGCAUUGAGGCAGUCAAAGUAGGUAAAUCCGCUUUGAUAAUGCUGGGAUGUGAUGGGGAGCGAAAUUUAGUAGCGAAGUAGCUGAUUUCACACUGUCAAGAAAAGUCUCUAUCGAGGUUAAAGGUACCCGUACCGCAAACCGACACAGGUGGGUGAGGAGAGUAUCCUAAGGCCAGCGAGAGAACUGUUGUUAAGGAACUCGGCAAAAUGACCCCGUAACUUAGGGAUAAGGGGUGCCACCAUCAGGUGGCCGCAGAGAAUAGGCCCAAGCGACUGUUUACCAAAAACAUAGGUUUCUGCUAAGUCGCAAGACGAUGUAUAGGAGCUGACGCCUGCCCGGUGCUGGAAGGUUAAGGGGAUCUGUUAGAGCAAUCGAAGCAGUGAACUUAAGCCCCAGUAAACGGCGGCCGUAACUAUAACGGUCCUAAGGUAGCGAAAUUCCUUGUCGGGUAAGUUCCGACCCGCACGAAAGGCGUAACGAUUUGGGCACUGUCUCAACAACAGACUCGGUGAAAUUGUAAUUCCGGUGAAGAUGCCGGAUACCUGCGACAGGACGGAAAGACCCCAUGGAGCUUUACUGUAGCUUGACAUUGGGUCUUGGUACUACAUGUACAGGAUAGGUGGGAGGCUUUGAAACCAGGACGCCAGUUUUGGCGGAGCCAUCCUUGGGAUACCACCCUUGUAGUACUGGGACUCUAACCAUAGGCCAUGAAUCUGGUCUUGGGACACUGUCAGGUGGGCAGUUUGACUGGGGCGGUCGCCUCCCAAAAGGUAACGGAGGUGCUCAAAGGUUCUCUCAGUACGGUCGGAAAUCGUACGUAGAGUGUAAAGGCAAAAGAGAGCUUGAUUGCAAGACAUACAGGUCGAGCAAGGAUGAAAAUCGGACUUAGUGAUCCGGUGGUUCUGCGUGGAAGGGCCAUCGCUCAACGGAUAAAAGCUACCCUGGGGAUAACAGGCUUAUCUCCCCCAAGAGUCCACAUCGACGGGGAGGUUUGGCACCUCGAUGUCGGCUCAUCACAUCCUGGGGCUGUAGUAGGUCCCAAGGGUUGGGCUGUUCGCCCAUUAAAGUGGUACGCGAGCUGGGUUCAGAACGUCGUGAGACAGUUCGGUCCCUAUCCGUCGCAGGCGUAGGAAAUUUGAGAAGACCUGUCCUUAGUACGAGAGGACCGGGAUGGACGUACCUCUGGUGUACCAGUUGUCCUGCCAAGGGCAUGGCUGGGUAGCUAUGUACGGAAUGGAUAAGCGCUGAAAGCAUCUAAGCGCGAAGCCAACUUCAAGAUAAGAUUUCCCACCGCAAGGGUAAGACCCCAGAAAGACUAUCUGGUUGAUAGGUCGAAGGUGUAAGUGCAGCAAUGUAUUUAGCUUAUCGAUACUAAUAGGUCGAGGACUUGACCAAU
rnacentral:rRNA from 1 species